GGUACUCAUGUCGCUUGGCCUCGACAUCUUGUUUUAAUGUCACAUGAAGAGAACUCAAUGAGCACUUGGAAGUCUUCAAGUAAAACACCACGCAAACAAGCAGCAUACAAGAUGCCUGUGUCCGUGCAUCUUCUACUGCGUUUGGCAAGAACAAUGGAUGAAUCUAUAGCAGUGUCAGUCCCAAUGGAAGAAGGUGUGUUUGGCAAUGACCACAAUACAUUCAUAAACGGUAACGACAUCAUCCAGUUUUGUU
rnacentral:lncRNA from 1 species